rnacentral:rRNA from 1 species
GGCGGACGGGUGAGUAAUGUCUGGGAAACUGCCUGAUGGAGGGGGAUAACUACUGGAAACGGUAGCUAAUACCGCAUAACGUCGCAAGACCAAAGAGGGGGACCUUCGGGCCUCUUGCCAUCGGAUGUGCCCAGAUGGGAUUAGCUAGUAGGUGGGGUAACGGCUCACCUAGGCGACGAUCCCUAGCUGGUCUGAGAGGAUGACCAGCCACACUGGAACUGAGACACGGUCCAGACUCCUACGGGAGGCAGCAGUGGGGAAUAUUGCACAAUGGGCGCAAGCCUGAUGCAGCCAUGCCGCGUGUAUGAAGAAGGCCUUCGGGUUGUAAAGUACUUUCAGCGGGGAGGAAGGGAGUAAAGUUAAUACCUUUGCUCAUUGACGUUACCCGCAGAAGAAGCACCGGCUAACUCCGUGCCAGCAGCCGCGGUAAUA